AACUGCGAAGAGGCGAAGUUUUUGUUCGUUCGCAUGUUGCAUUGUUACUGUUUUGAAAAGUGCGGAUUUUUUCUUCGGUUUGAGAAAUUUCGAUGUCACAGCAGACCUGGCUUUAGCAUCCGUCACGGACUUCACAAAGAGACAAUCAGGGACGCCAUUUCAGACCCAGCAAAUUUGGAUGUCAGCAGAAUAAAAGUCUUGCUGGAGGCAACGCUGGAAGCUCGGCGGAAAAGCCCGGAGAAUGAACUUCCUGUGUACUUUCUAAACCCAGACGUGCUUGCACUUGAGGCCGAACUGAGGUUUGAAGCUUCUUAUGAAGACAUGCUAGCCAAGCUUCAACAUAUUCGAAAGAUGCUGGGUCGAACGAGCUUCAUCGAGAUUGACGAGUACCUUCGGCCAAAAAAAGCUGAAUUUGCCCUGAUCUCAUUGGAGACACAUGAACGAGGUGUGCCUAUUCCUGGCCCUUGUAUCAUCGCCCAAGAUGGACACAAAGUGGUCUGCAAGGGCCCCACCAUUGAUCUGGCUGCGGGAUCAUCACUGGAGCAUGCUCUAAUCAUUUGCGUAACACUUUAUUUUAUCUUGGAUAUCACGUACCCAAAUGCAUUUGGUCAAACUUUGGGUUUGGUCCAGACAGCAUUAGCUAAGAGGGAGCCUUUUCCACGCUGCUUGAUGUCACACAAACUUACGCUGUGUUUAAAACAGUUGAAACAUCCUGCAAGAACUCGUUAGCUGAUGAGAUGCUGUAUGUAAGAUCUCCUUUUUUCUUUGAGCACAAACAAUGCAAAGAGGUAGCAGUGACUCACACAAACCUACAAACUAAAGGACAGCUUUUGGGUUUGGUAGUUCUAAAAACGCAUUGCUUAAAGUUGUGGCCAGUCAUAACAGCUUUGCUUUAAGCAUGUACACGCAUUGUCACCUCAUUUAGGGCAACUGUUUAUUGGUCUAUUUUCUUUUUUGACUUUGGGCGACAAAUGAUAGGUGUGAUUUUUUGCAAGUGUAUGCGGCAUACUCAAAGCGAUACUGUUGCACUUUGUAGAAAAAUGCGUGUUGCUGCAGUGAGGCAUAACACUUAUGAGGCUCGCAUUAAAUACAUUACUCUUUCUAGAUUAAAAAAGAAAAUAGCUGUCAUAUCAGCAAAUUUGCAGUAAGUGUCAUUUUCCAAGCUCGUAGCUAAACAUUGAUAUUCGCAGUUAUUUGUUUUGCGUACGUUGUAAUGGCAAGAUUGCAGCCAUCCACCAAUUAUGACUUUUCCACUUAUUAGGAAUUGCCAAACCCGCUGUUCUCAAACAUUGGUCCUGAACAUUCGAGCCCAAAUUUCGACCAAUAACACAUUCGUUGGGUGAACUAGAAUAACCAAGUCUUGUGUCACAGUUCCAGGAUAUUCUGAUUAUAAAGACUUAAUAUUGUGUCUACGAGAAAUUGUGUUAAGCUGCAGUUUUUAAUUAGUGUAUAUGUGCUACAAAUAUAAAUGAACAAGGCAAUUUGUGAAUGGAGCUUAUUAUUAAGAUGUCAGGAAAACUGACAUUACUGAAAUGC